rnacentral:rRNA from 1 species
UACGUAGGGGGCAAGCGUUAUCCGGAUUUACUGGGUGUAAAGGGGGCGCAGACGGCAGCGCAAGCCUGGAGUGAAAGCCCGGGGCCCAACCCCGGGACUGCUCUUGGAACUGCGCGGCUGGAGUGCAGGAGGGGCAGGCGGAAUUCCUGGUGUAGCGGUGAAAUGCGUAGAUAUCAGGAGGAACACCGGUGGCGAAGGCGGCCUGCUGGACUGCGACUGACGUUGAGGCCCGAAAGCGUGGGGAGCAAACAGG